rnacentral:sRNA from 1 species
GCCCAGGAGACCCGCACAGUCUGAAGCACCUCCUUCAGUAUCUGAAUCUCAAGUUCUCCCGACUUGUCUAAAGCCAUGAGCAACCUCUGUCUUGUUCCUAAUCUCAUGCACGCAUGGGCGAGCCCAACAGGUGGCAAACAGCCACCACGACUAAAUUUAUCCUCAAAUGGAAACUCAUAUGUCCCAGGCCUCUGCUAGAGGUCCUACCUGAUGGGAGGACCCUGAUCUCCUAGCCUCGGUUUUGUCGCUUCCGCAUCGAGCGAUCUCGCACCCAUCAUCACUUUAUCCAUGGUCCAACACCACAAUCGCUAGCUACACCUCCCUGCUCGGGGUGCGUAGUUAAUAGCAAAACGCCCGUUAAUGUCAUUUGCGAGCGUAGAGCCCAGCGCAGCCGCAGCAUUAGCCCACUUCACCGAAGAUGAUGAUGGUUGGAUUGUAUUGGGAGACUUUGUAGGCGCAAAAAAGAAAUCGAGGAGAUUGCUGAGCCCUUCUAUGUGUGUACGGUGAAAUGGAAGCCCCGCGAGUGCUGCAUGCUGGUCAAAUACAUUGGAGAAGUACUUGAUAGGAGGAUUUCAGAAUUGGAGACUCUGCUUGGGGGGGAAGGGGGUUGGGGAGGACAUUCCACUCUCCCCAGCCGUUUGCACGAACGGCCGGACAGACAAUUCUCGUGAUAUGCUGGUAUAGAAAACUGUUGGAUGUCUCAGUGGUUGUAAAGGAUCAAGAACAGGAUGAUUCCAUGUUAUUGCUAUAUGAUUCCUUAAUGAUCCCCCCUUCUAAGAAAAGAGAAAAAAGAGAAGAGAGAAAAACUACAAGAAUUCUUUUUUUUUAGGAAAACAAGAAAUUAACAAAUAAAAAAAGUAAGCAGGUA